UGGUUUGACCAGAGCAAUGGUUUGCGAAGCCUUGGGGUGAUGGAGAUGGCUGAACCACAGAGUAUUGCAGCUGAUUCAGAGGAGGAGGAGGUCCUCUGGUAGUUUCAUAGGUGUCCAUGGAGUGCAAAAGAUUCGAAAUGGCUGCAGCGAUGGUGGAGAUUCAAUAAGAGGUCCAAUAGGACAGGGCUAGAUGGCUGAUCUUGGAUCAGAUUUUAACUUCUGCAG
rnacentral:lncRNA from 1 species